rnacentral:rRNA from 1 species
AUGGCGAAGGACAAGACAUCCGCUCUGGAGCGUGCGAAGAAGGCGACGGCACAGGGAAAGGGGAAGAGGUCUGCUCGGGGCGGAUCCUCCUCAAGGCCUGCUCUGCCCCGAGGCUGGAUCCAGGGCGAUUGGAUGCCGUCGGUGAUCCGGCAAGAAGAUCUCGACGACAUGGUCGAGGGGGGAGUCAUUCCCCACGAAGCUGCGCGUCUCCCGGGGAGAGAGAUCGAACCUCAACCCCGCGACGGUGAGUGCGUGCUCCUAGCCACCCAUGUCGACCGCGGAUUUUAUCUGCCGCCCCAUCCUUUUUUCCGGAGCUUCCUGAACUUCUUCGGAGCGUAG